rnacentral:rRNA from 1 species
CCUACGGGAGGCAGCAGUAGGGAAUAUUGGGCAAUGGAGGCAACUCUGACCCAGCCAUGCCGCGUGCAGGAUGAAGGCGUUAUGCGUUGUAAACUGCUUUUAUAUAGGAAGAAAGAGUUCUUGCGAGAACAGUUGACGGUACUAUAUGAAUAAGCACCGGCUAACUCCGUGCCAGCAGCCGCGGUAAUACGGAGGGUGCAAGCGUUGUCCGGAUUUAUUGGGUUUAAAGGGUGCGUAGGCGGUUUAUUAAGUCAGUGGUGAAAGACGGUCGCUCAACGAUUGCAGUGCCAUUGAUACUGGUAGACUUGAGUGAGAUUGAGGUAGCUGGAAUGGAUAGUGUAGCGGUGAAAUGCAUAGAUAUUAUCCAGAACACCAAUUGCGUAGGCAAGUUACUAAGUCUCAACUGACGCUGAGGCACGAAAGUGUGGGGUAUCAAACAGGAUUAGAUACCCUGGUAGUCCACACUGUAAACGAUGAUAACUAACUGUUGGCUUUCGGGUCAGUGGUACAGAGAAAUCGUUAAGUUAUCCAACCUGGGGAGUUACGCGGCAACGGUUGAACGUUAAGGAUUGACGG